GACGAACGCUGGCGGCGUGCUUAACACAUGCAAGUCGAACGGUGAACUCCGCUUGCGGGGGGAUCAGUGGCGAACGGGUGAGUAACACGUGGGCAACCUGCCCUCAGCUCUGGGAUAACUCCAAGAAAUUGGGGCUAAUACCGGAUAUGACCGCUGACCGCAUGGUCUGGUGGUGGAAAGAUUUAUCGGCUGGGGAUGAGCCCGCGGCCUAUCAGCUUGUUGGUGGGGUAGUGGCCUACCAAGGCGACGACGGGUAGCCGGCCUGAGAGGGUGACCGGCCACACUGGGACUGAGACACGGCCCAGACUCCUACGGGAGGCAGCAGUGGGGAAUAUUGCGCAAUGGGCGAAAGCCUGACGCAGCGACGCCGCGUGGGGGAUGACGGCCUUCGGGUUGUAAACCUCUUUCAGCAGGGACGAAGCGAAAGUGACGGUACCUGCAGAAGAAGCACCGGCCAACUACGUG
rnacentral:rRNA from 1 species